AUUGAACGCUGGCGGCAGGCCUAACACAUGCACGUCGAGCGCGCGGCGGACGUGUGAGUAAUAUAUGGGGAUAUGCCCGGUAGCGGGGGAUAACUACUGUAUAUGGUGUCUAAUACCGCAUACUAUCGCAUGAACCCAUAUGGGAUUGGCUGGUAGAUUGGGUAAAGGCUCACCUAGGCGACGAUCUCUCGCUGGUCUGAGAGGAUGCUAAACCAGACUGGGACUGCGACACGGCCCAGACUCCUACGGGAGGCAGCAGUGGUGAAUAUUGCACAAAGGGCGCAAGCCUGAUGCAGCCAUGCCGCGUGUAUGAAGAAGGCCUUAGGGUUGUAAAGUACUUUCAGCGGGGAGGCGUUACCCGCAGAAGAAGCACCGGCUAACUCCGUGUCAGCAGCCGCGGUAAUAC
rnacentral:rRNA from 1 species